CAGUAGCCGCGGGAAUACGGAGGGUGCGAGCGUUAAUCGGAUUUACUGGGCGUAAAGGGCGCGUAGGUGGUUAUGUAAGUGAGAUGUGAAAUCCCCGGGCUCAACCUGGGAACUGCAUCUUAUACUGCGUAGCUGGAGUGCAGUAGAGGGUAGUGGAAUUUCCGGUGUAGCGGUGAAAUGCGUAGAUAUCGGAAGGAACACCAGUGGCGAAGGCGGCUACCUGGACUGACACUGACACUGAGGCGCGAAAGCGUGGGGAGCAAACAGGAUUAGAUACCCGCGUAGUCCCUGUCUCUUAUAC
rnacentral:rRNA from 1 species